rnacentral:rRNA from 1 species
UACGGAGGGUGCAAGCGUUAUCCGGAUUCACUGGGUUUAAAGGGUGCGUAGGUGGGUAGGUAAGUCAGCGGUGAAAUCCCCGAGCUUAACUUGGGAACUGCCAUUGAUGCUAUCUGUCUUGAAUACCUUGGAGGUGAGCGGAAUAUGUCAUGUAGCGGUGAAAUGCUUAGAUAUGACAUAGAACACCAAUUGCGAAGGCAGCUCACUACACGGUCAUUGACACUGAGGCACGAAAGCGUGGGGAUCAAACAGG